GGAUCGAUGAUGACACCCUCACAUGCAUUCCUUGGAAAAUCUGAACAAAAUGAGUGAGAACUCACUACCGUCUCCCUCAUCGAAACUGAGGUCC
rnacentral:snoRNA from 1 species